UUUGGUUGGAAUUGAGACAAUUAGUCUCUUUAAGAGAUUGCUAGUUUGGAAAAGUCAACCAGAUGCUGACUUAUGAGUUAUAGGGCUCAGAAUGGAUUUCCAACAAUUCGGCUAGUUUCGGGUGGUGAUUUAUGACUUGGAUGUUAAAUCGGAAGUGAAUUUGGAGGUUCUGUGUAGAAUUAGGCUUGAAUUGGCUACGUUUGAAUUUUGGCGAAUUCCGAUCGAUAGGUGAGAUUCUGCUUCGGGGGUCAGAAUGGAAUUUCAAGAGUUGUUGUAGCUUCGUUAGGUGAUUUUGGAUAUGUCUGCAAAUUUUCAGGUCAAUCCGACGUCUUUGGUCGGGUUUUUGAUCGAAUGUGAGUUUCGGAAGUUUUAGUUUAACUUAGGAUUGAAUCCAUUGUGAAUUGAUGUUUUUUGUGUUCUUGGUCGUGUUUGUAUGAUUGGAACAGGUUCGUAUGAUAUUUUGGGGUAGGUUGAUAUUUUUGGUUGGGGUCCCGGGGGCCUCGGGGUGUUUUCGGAGGUUCAACGGAUCAUUUUUGGUUGGCUUGGAGAUCUGAUUUUGCUGUCUUAAUUGUUGCAGAGUUUGGUUCAAUGCGAUCGCAGGAGUGCUAUUCUGAUCGCAUAGAAGGUUUGAAGAGGCCUUGGAAAUUUUAAAAUGUUAUCGCAUUCAGGGGUAUGCGAUCGUAUAGGUUGGGAAAGUUGUUCUCUAUGAUCACAGGAGGGCUUAUGUGAUCGCGUAGUGUAAUGGACCUGGGUUUCCUGAGGGAGCAAUUGUGCAGUGCGAUCUCAGGGCAAGUAUUGCGAUUGCAUAGUGUGGACAGGAUGCUUAUGGGUUGCGAUUGCAUAGACAAAAUUGGAGGCCUGGAAGAGUUGUUCAAUGUGAUCGUAGGAGAUGUCAUGCGAUCGCAUAGAGGAAAUACCUGGGCGCAUAGAAGGGUUUUAUAACACAUCAUGUGCGAGCUAAUCUCAUUUUCCACCAUUGUUGAGCACAUUUUGGAGCUAUUGCACAAGAGAGUAAGAG
rnacentral:lncRNA from 1 species